AACGAACGCUGGCGGCAGGCCUAACACAUGCAAGUCGAACGCCCCGCAAGGGGAGUGGCGCACGGGUGAGUAACACGUGGGAAUAUGCCCUUAGGUACGGGACAACAGUUGGAAACGACUGCUAAUACCGUAUGAUAUCGAGAGAUCAAAGAUUUAUCGCCUAAGGAUUAGCCCGCGUUAGAUUAGGUAGUUGGUGGGGUAAAGGCCUACCAAGCCUACGAUCUAUAGCUGGUCUUAGAGGAUGACCAGCCACACUGGAACUGAGACACGGUCCAGACUCCUACGGGAGGCAGCAGUGAGGAAUAUUGGACAAUGGGCGCAAGCCUGAUCCAGCCAUGCCGCGUGAAUGAUGAAGGCCUUAGGGUUGUAAAGUUCUUUUAGUCGUGAAGAUGAUGACGGUAACGACAGAAAAAGCUCCGGCUAACUCCGUGCCAGCCGCCGCGGUAA
rnacentral:rRNA from 1 species